CAUUAUUGAAAUAAACCUGAUGGGUUGCUGCUGGCUCUCUAGGGAGCAUGUGCACACUUGUCAUCUUUAUAUCUCCACCUGUGCACCUUUUGUAGAUCUGGAUAUYUUUCUGAAUGCYUGSCAUUCAGGUUUGAGGAUUGACUUUUGUCUUUCCUUACAUUUCCAGGCCUAUGUUUUCUUCAUAUACACCAUUUAUGUUAUAGAAUGUAAUGAAAAGGGCCUUUGUGCCUACAAACCUUAUACAACUUUCAGCAACGGAUCUCUUGGCUCUCGCAUCGAUGAAGAACGCAGCGAAAUGCGAUAAGUAAUGUGAAUUGCAGAAUUCAGUGAAUCAUCGAAUCUUUGAACGCACCUUGCGCUCCUUGGUAUUCCGAGGAGCAUGCCUGUUUGAGUGUCAUUAAUAUAUCAACCUCCUCAGGUUUUGACUUGUCGAGUGUUUGGAUGUGGGGGUCUUUUGCUGGUCUCUUUUGAGGUCGGCUCCCCUAAAAUGCAUUAGCGGAACAAUUUGUUGACCCGUUCAUUGGUGUGAUAACUAUCUACGCUUUUGACGUGAAACAGGUUCAGCUUCUAACAGUCCAUUGACUUGGACAAAUUUUCAUUAAUGUG
rnacentral:rRNA from 1 species